AGCCAGAGCUUUAUUAAGCUUAUCUGGCAUGGAUGGGAACACUGACUGUUAUUCCAGGCCUGAAAAGAGCAAGCAAGGAUUUAUUUUUUUUUUUUUUAAGUCUUGUUUUCAUUAUUUUCUGGUGGCUUCAUUGCUUUGUGCUCACACAAAGGGAAUUUCACCUGCUGUUCCAAACAAAAGGCCCUGGAAAGUUUUGCAGGGAAGGGGAUCGGGGAAGAAGGUUUGUAGAAGCAAAAUGAGUUGUUGCAUGGUUUGUUGUGGAUUUUUUUUUCACAGUGACCUGUAAAACAUCCCCAGCUCUUUGCUGCUUGCGGAAGAUCUGGCGCCGACAUGUGAGUCCCCUAUCCCCAGCAGUGUCACCCCUGGGAUGGGAAUGGGAAGGUCUCAGAAAUUGGGGUUGUUUUGGGGUGCAGAGGGAAGGCAGCAGGACCGCAUCCCAUCUUUUUCACGGGCAAAGUCACGCCACGCUUUCUAAGAACAGGAAAGAAACGAACCCAGCCCUCGUUCGCUGACACCACAGCAAAACAGGUGGUUCAAAAUCACAAGUGCAAGGGGGGGAGAAAAUAAACCCUGUUCGGUGAUUUUGUGCUCAUAUUCACUGCAAAACUGUCCGGGAAUGCUGCUAAAUACACACCAUUUUCCCUCUCACACUCUUUGCUCUAUAAUUAAGAGAGACUUCUAAAAAUACGAACGGCCUCGAGCACCCAGUGAAGGCGUGCAGGUGCUGCUAACUGGAGGCACUUUAGUACAGCUCAUUUUCUGGACAAUUUUACUCGCCUGGCUCGUGCUCAGCGCCGAUACUAUUACAGUGAUGCAAUUAUGCUGCUGCUGCUGCUGCUGCUGCUGCUGCUGCUGCUGCUGCCGCCGUGCUCGGCUUUUUCCCUGCGCUUUGCAGUUUGCCUUCCAAGCCCCCCCAGCCCCGCAGCUCACCCCAAGCGUGUCUCCCCCAGCGAGGCCCUGGGAGUUGGGGACUGGAGGGGUCAGGCUCUGUGUGUGUGUCACACCGACAUGCCAACGUCCCUGUGUGGGCACCGAGGGGCAUAACCCCGCGUGGGCAUCGCCCAAAACAACCGGUGUGCAAAAGUUUUGGGGCUGCAAUAGGUGGAAGUGAUUGACUCACUAUGAGACUGCUGUUUUUGCCUCUGACUUGGGAUUAAGACGGAGCUGGAGGAGCGGAGGAGCCGUGGUUGGCAGGCACCGGAGCCGGCACUUACCUCUCACCGCAUCCAGCCCCUCCGGCCGUGGGGCUGCAGCUCCUGGAGAGUUAGCUGGCAGGGCACCCCACAUCCACUCGGGUUUCUCCCAGGACCGACAUUCGGCUGCUGCUUCUUAGGCACAGACCCAACCCCUCCAUUCCAACCACAGGGGGGAAAAAGAAAAAAUCUUCUUCCAAAAGAAAAAAAAAUAAAGGAAUUAAAAAAAAAAAAAAAA